rnacentral:lncRNA from 1 species
GUGGGCCAGGAGACUCAAGAGAAAAACCUGAGGCCCAAUCCCAGCUGCGUGAACUGGCUCGACAAGGCUGCGGGAUGCAGAGGCCAGAGCAGCCUCAACCCCCAACCCCUCAGUCUCCAGCAGAAGAAUAUGCGAACACUCCUCAGAACAAGUUCCAGCUCGAGUUCCUUCCUUCCUGCUUCCGUCAACUCCAUCCCUCCAAGCCUUGGCCUCCCCUCAGCACCUCAUCCAACUGGCAAACUUCCAAGGAGAGGCAGGACAGUGAGCAGGCACUCUGCCCAGACUGCCUGUGUUCAACCUCCAGAGCUUACCAGCUCUGCAACCUUGGGAAGAUGAGGUUAUGGGUGCUACGGAGCUCUGGUCCGCCAGUUCCUGCUGCAAGUCACCGCUGUUCACUCACCAAGAAACAAG